AACAACCUGACGCCACAGAUACGCACAUUGUUUCAGGAAAAAAAUUGGUUUUGUUACAUGACGUUUUGCUGAAAGUCAGUUUCCAAGGUCAUAUUGAUGACAUUAAAUGAGGACUUACUUUAUCUUAUUUAAAUCCAAUUCAGCUUAUCACCCACAUACUGCCUAGAUUUUGAGUAAAUUAAUUUAUAAAAAGGAGAGAAUUCUCAAUAUAACCAAUGGCUGGGUGCAGUGGCUCAUGCCUGUAAUCCCAGGAUGUUGGGAGGCUGAGGUGGGAGGAUCACUUGAGCCCCAGUGAGACUAGCCUGGGUAACAUAGGGAGACUCCCUCUCCACAAAACGCAAAAAAAUUAGCUGGGUGUGGUGGUGCAUACCUGUGGUCCCAGAUACUCAGGAGGCUGAGGUGGGGGAUCACUUGAGCCCAGGAGGUCAAGGCUGCAGUAAGCCGUUACCGUACCACCACUGCACUCCAGCCUGGGCAACAGAGUGAGACCUUGUCUCAGAAAAAAACAAAAGCAACCAACUUUC
rnacentral:lncRNA from 1 species